AUUGAACGCUGGCGGCGUGCUUAACACAUGCAAGUCGAGCGGUAACAGGUGUAGCAAUACAUGCUGACGAGCGGCGAACGGGAGAGUAAUGCUUCGGAAUCUGCCCAGUAGUGGGGAAUAACGUAGGGAAACUUACGCUAAUACCGCAUACGAACUACGGUUGAAAGCAGGGGAUCGCAAGACCUUGCGCUAUUGGAUGAGCCGAAGUCGGAUUAGCUAGUUGGUGAGGUAAAGGCUCACCAAGGCGACGAUCCGUAGCUGGUCUGAGAGGACGAACAGCCACGCUGGAACUGAGACACGGUCCAGACUCCUACGGGAGGCAGCAGUGGGGAAUAUUGGACAAUGGGGGAAACCCUGAUCCAGCGACGCCGCGUGUGUGAAGAAGGCCUGCGGGUUGUAAAGCACUUUUAGUGGGGACAAAAAGCCAAAGGCUAAUACCUUUUGGUCUUGAUUUAACCCAAAGAAAAAGCACCGGCUAACUCUGUGCCAGCAGCCGCGGUAA
rnacentral:rRNA from 1 species